AUGAGUUGGGUUUUUUUGACUAGCGUAGCACAGUCUACCUUUCUUUCCAAAUUCAUUAUGAUGCCUAUGCAUCAGUGUUGGAAUCAUUUAUUCUUCGGCAGUUCCUCCUGUCGGUGAGAAAGCCAGGCUGAUCUUAAGGAAUUUCCUCUGAAGUAACUUCUUUUCCUCUCUUCUCCCCAAUACUGUCUUUUUCCUUAACAGUUUGCCUAGUCAAAAAAAUUUCCUGAAGUCCAGAUUCCUAACAUUGCAAAGAAGCUUGAAGAUUUUAAGAAAGACGUGGAAGCUAAGAAGAAACCUCCCAGUGACAAGUCCUAACGGAGCAGUAUUACCUAGAUCACUUCUGUGCAUGCAUCAAGGAUGGAAUUUACCCUUCUUUUGACAAAGAUCAAGUAGAGAUUUGGCAUGGGAGGUUCCUCCACUUUUAGUCUCCUAGAGCCAGAAUGUCCUUGUUUUGAAAAAGCAACCAUGAACUUUUCCUGGGACUGAUUUUCAAGGGUUUCAGAAUUCUGGAUUUGCAACUGAUAAUGUGACUGGAUAAGAUCAUUUGUAUUUUUUGUUAUUGCUUUUCCUAGUAUUUUGUAACCCAUUUUUACCUGAUCCAACUGGAAAAUAGUGUUAGUCCUGUUAUUAUGUAUACCUCACUCUUUGUAAUACUCUAGAACCUAGAACAUCGAAAAAAGAAAUUAAAUGCAUCAAGAAGUAACUUUCAGGA